rnacentral:rRNA from 1 species
UNUUACCAGAAAGGGACGGCUAANUACGUGCCAGCAGCCGCGGUAAUACGUAGGUCCCGAGCGUUGUCCGGAUUUAUUGGGCGUAAAGCGAGCGCAGGCGGUUAGAUAAGUCUGAAGUUAAAGGCUGUGGCUUAACCAUAGUACGCUUUGGAAACUGUUUAACUUGAGUGCAGAAGGGGAGAGUGGAAUUCCAUGUGUAGCGGUGAAAUGCGUAGAUAUAUGGAGGAACACCGGUGGCGAAAGCGGCUCUCUGGUCUGUAACUGACGCUGAGGCUCGGAAGCGUGGGGAGCGAACAGGAUUAGAUACCCUGGUAGUCCACGCCGUAAACGAUGAGUGCUAGGUGUUAGGCCCUUUCCGGGGCUUAGUGCCGCAGCUAACGCAUUAAGCACUCCGCCUGGGGAGUACGACCGCAAGGUUGAAACUCAAAGGAAUUGACGGGGGCCCGCACAAGCGGUGGAGCAUGUGGUUUAAUUCGAAGCAACGCGAAGAACCUUACCAGGUCUUGACAUCCCGAUGCCCGCUCUAGAGAUAGAGUUUUACUUCGGUACAUCGGUGACAGGUGGUGCAUGGUUGUCGUCAGCUCGUGUCGUGAGAUGUUGGGUUAAGUCCCGCAACGAGCGCAACCCUUAUUGUUAGUUGCCAUCAUUCAGUUGGGCACUCUAGCGAGACUGCCGGUAAUAAACCGGAGGAAGGUGGGGAUGACGUCAAAUCAUCAUGCCCCUUAUGACCUGGGCUACACACGUGCUACAAUGGCUGGUACAACGAGUCGCAAGUCGGUGACGGCAAGCUAAUCUCUUAAAGCCAGUCUCAGUUCGGAUUGUAGGCUGCAACUCGCCUACAUGAAGUCGGAAUCGCUAGUAAUCGCGGAUCAGCACGCCGCGGUGAAUACGUUCCCGGGCCUUGUACACACCGCCCGUCACACCACGAGAGUUUGUAACACCCGAA